AGAAAAGGGGGGCAACUCCCUGAGUACAGCGGCGCACGGGUGAGUAACACGUGGGUAAUCUGCCCUGGAGUGGGGAAUAACACCGGGAAACCGGUGCUAAUACCGCAUACGAUCACGAUGUCUGCGGACAUUGUGAUGAAAGGAGCAAUUCGCUCCAGGAGGAGCCCGCGGCUGAUCAGCUAGUUGGUGAGGUAAUGGCUCACCAAGGCUACGAUCAGUAUCCGGUCUGAGAGGACGGUCGGACUCACUGGAACUGAGACACGGUCCAGACUCCUACGGGAGGCAGCAGUGGGGAAUUUUUGGCAAUGGGGGAAACCCUGACCAAGCAACGCCGCGUGGGUGAUGAAGUCUCUUGGGACGUAAAACCCUUUCGACGGGGAAGAAAC
rnacentral:rRNA from 1 species